CGAGCGGACAGAUGGGAGCUUGCUCCCUGAUGUUAGCGGCGGACGGGUGAGUAACACGUGGGUAACCUGCCUGUAAGACUGGGAUAACUCCGGGAAACCGGGGCUAAUACCGGAUGCUUGUUUGAACCGCAUGGUUCAGACAUAAAAGGUGGCUUCGGCUACCACUUACAGAUGGACCCGCGGCGCAUUAGCUAGUUGGUGAGGUAACGGCUCACCAAGGCGACGAUGCGUAGCCGACCUGAGAGGGUGAUCGGCCACACUGGGACUGAGACACGGCCCAGACUCCUACGGGAGGCAGCAGUAGGGAAUCUUCCGCAAUGGACGAAAGUCUGACGGAGCAACGCCGCGUGAGUGAUGAAGGUUUUCGGAUCGUAAAGCUCUGUUGUUAGGGAAGAACAAGUGCCGUUCAAAUAGGGCGGCACCUUGACGGUACCUAACCAGAAAGCCACGGCUAACUACGUGCCAGCAGCCGCGGUAAUACGUAGGUGGCAAGCGUUGUCCGGAAUUAUUGGGCGUAAAGGGCUCGCAGGCGGUUUCUUAAGUCUGAUGUGAAAGCCCCCGGCUCAACCGGGGAGGGUCAUUGGAAACUGGGGAACUUGAGUGCAGAAGAGGAGAGUGGAAUUCCACGUGUAGCGGUGAAAUGCGUAGAGAUGUGGAGGAACACCAGUGGCGAAGGCGACUCUCUGGUCUGUAACUGACGCUGAGGAGCGAAAGCGUGGGGAGCGAACAGGAUUAGAUACCCUGGUAGUCCACGCCGUAAACGAUGAGUGCUAAGUGUUAGGGGGUUUCCGCCCCUUAGUGCUGCAGCUAACGCAUUAAGC
rnacentral:rRNA from 1 species